GACGAACGCUGGCGGCGUGCCUAAUACAUGCAAGUCGAGCGGAGUUAUGAAGGAGCUUGCUCCUGAUUAACUUAGCGGCGGACGGGUGAGUAACACGUAGGCAACCUGCCCUGUAGUCUGGGAUAACGACCGGAAACGGUAGCUAAUACCGGAUAAUUCCUUUUGCCACCUGGCAUGAGGAUGAAAGACGGAGCAAUCUGUCACUAUGGGAUGGGCCUGCGGCGCAUUAGCUAGUUGGUGGGGUAACGGCUCACCAAGGCGACGAUGCGUAGCCGACCUGAGAGGGUGAACGGCCACACUGGGACUGAGACACGGCCCAGACUCCUACGGGAGGCAGCAGUAGGGAAUCUUCCGCAAUGGGCGAAAGCCUGACGGAGCAACGCCGCGUGAGUGAUGAAGGUUUUCGGAUCGUAAAGCUCUGUUGCCAGGGAAGAACGUCCGGUAGAGUAACUGCUGCCGGAGUGACGGUACCUGAGAAGAAAGCCCCGGCUAACUACGUGCCAGCAGCCGCCGUAAUAC
rnacentral:rRNA from 1 species